rnacentral:rRNA from 1 species
CCUACGGGUGGCAGCAGUGAGGAAUAUUGGUCAAUGGGCGCGAGCCUGAACCAGCCAAGUAGCGUGAAGGAUGACUGCCCUACGGGUUGUAAACUUCUUUUAUAAAGGAAUAAAGUGAGGCACGUGUGCCUUUUUGUAUGUACUUUAUGAAUAAGGAUCGGCUAACUCCGUGCCAGCAGCCGCGGUAAUACGGAGGAUCCGAUCGUUCGCCGGAUUUAGUGGGUUUAAAGGGAGCGGAGAUGGGUUGGUAAGUCAGUUGUGAAAGUUUGCGGCUCAACCGUAAAAUUGCAAUUGAUACUGGGAGUCUUGAGGACAGGUGAGGUAGGCGGAAUUCGUGGUGUAGCGGUGAAAUGCUUAGAUAGCACGAAGAACUACGAUUGCGAAGGCAGCUUACUAAACUGCCACUGACAUUGAUGCUCGAAAGUGUGGGUAGCAAACAGGAUUAGAUACCCGAGUAGUC